GAAAGAUGAAAAGAACUUUGAAAAGAGAGUAAAAUAGUACGUGAAAUUGUUGAAAGGGAAACGAUUGAAGUCAGUCGUACCGACGGAAAAUCAGCUCUUUGAGUGCGGACUUGUGGGCUUACGUGAGUUUUAACACCUCGCUGUUUGCAACGUUCGUGUUUUUUGGGUGUACUUUUUCGUAUGGUUGGCCAAUAUCAGUUUUGAUCGCUAUAAAAUGACCGGCGGAAUGUAGCUUCGAUCUCGUAUUGAAGUGUUAUA
rnacentral:rRNA from 1 species